CUCCAGGUCGCUGGACCGUGUAACGGCGUGGCAUGAUCGCUGGGGUUCGGAGGAGGCGUGGGUCAGGGCGGAACUGAAUGCUGGCAAGGCCAUGCUCGAAAUCCGUGAGUGUACAAAGUGGCAGCCUCACCAAGUGUGUGCCACUCUCAUCCCUGAAGCACCAGUCGCGGUCUUCCUUGAGCUGGGUGCUCGUGAGAUGUGCUGCAUCCAUGUAGACGAU
rnacentral:lncRNA from 1 species